UACGAAGGGGGCUAGCGUUGCUCGGAAUCACUGGGCGUAAAGCGCACGUAGGCGGCUUUUUAAGUCAGGGGUGAAAUCCUGGAGCUCAACUCCAGAACUGCCUUUGAUACUGGCAAUCUAGAGUCCGGAAGAGGUGAGUGGAACUCCUAGUGUAGAGGUGGAAUUCGUAGAUAUUAGGAAGAACACCAGUGGCGAAGGCGGCUCACUGGUCCAUUACGUGACGCUGAGGUGCGAAAGCGUGGGGAGCAAACAGGG
rnacentral:rRNA from 1 species